AAUGAAGGGAGCAAAAUCUAUGGAAGACGUCUCUUGCUGUGAAGAAAUCCCAAAUUGGAAACACAUCUGUACUGCCCUUCGUAUUUUCACCAUAUCUCCCUCAUCUGAUGUCGUAUUGAGCUGAUUCAAGAGGUUUUGGAAAGGUAAUUUAACUUUCUAUAAUUUCUCCUCAAAUAGAGAUUUUGAAAUUCUCACGUUUUCUAAGUGAAAAACGGCCCACAAUCCAAGGCUAAAAAUCUGCCGAAUUGAAGAGGCGAAUUCAGGAUUGAUUCUUUCUUUUCCUAGUGAAGAUGGCUUGAAAGGAGUGGAAGAGGAGGAAAAAAAAAAUAGAGGACGGCCAAGAAGGCUGGGACCAAGGUGGAUCGAUUCUUUUUCCUCCCUUUUGGCUAUCAAAGGAGGGAAGCCAUUCCAAGAAAACGGGAGACCAGAUUCACUGAGUUUUUCCUUCUUCCCAUCUCUUUCAAUUUCUUGAUGUUAACUCUUUAUUUAAACUUUUCUUCAAUUUUAGCAUGAAUUAAUUUCUAUCUUCUAGAGUUUGAGAUGUAGCCUAACUACGAUUAUGUGAAUCUUCCUUAACUUGAAUUAAUUGAUAUUUGUUCCAAUUGUUGAAUAUUUCAUUCUGAACUUAAUGCUUGUGAAUUGACUGAUCACCAUUCACUUGAGUUGGGAUUCAAUUUGAGACAGAGAAGUAAUAAUUGUUUCAGCCAAUGUUUUAGAUACCGCAGGAAUUCUGUAGGAUAGAGAUAUCUAUGGACUUGUGUAAUCUUUAUGGGUUUAUUUUUGUUCUUAAUGAAUCUUGACAGGCUUAGAAUUUUCACAGAAAUGUAGAAAAUUUUCUUGUUGAGAUAUUUCGUUAAUGCUUGAGAAAGAUUAAUGAAUAAAUUAGAAAGACUUGAUUAUCAACAAUUAGGAACACUUAAAAUUAAUUCAAUUAGGAUAUUUACAUAUGAG
rnacentral:lncRNA from 1 species